UACGUAGGGCGCGAGCGUUGUCCGGAAUUAUUGGGCGUAAAGAGCUCGUAGGCGGCCUGUUGCGUCCGCUGUGAAAUCCCGGGGCUUAACCCCGGGCGUGCAGUGGAUACGGGCUGGCUGGAGGCAGGCAGGGGAGAACGGAAUUCCUGGUGUAGAGGUGAAAUUCGUAGAUAUCAGGAGGAACACCGGUGGCGAAGGCGGGUCUCUGGGCCGAUACUGACGCUGAGGAGCGAAAGCGUGGGGAGCGAACAGG
rnacentral:rRNA from 1 species